AAACUGGAUGUGAGGCAAUCCUGUAGAUUGCAAAUACUUGGGAAAAAGAAGUAGCAAAGGCCAUAGACUUUUGGGAACAGAAAUCACGUAAUUGUUAGUUUUGACCUUGUAUAUUAAGUUGUGAAGGUGAAGGCAAGAGCUAGGCUUCUGAAUUUAAAUAGACACAAUUUCCCCAGAAUGAGGGAAUUGAUGGGCAUAUAUAAUUGGAUGAUGCUACUGCAGGGUCACAGUGGAGGCGGGGAGGUCAGCUUGAAGACUGCAAGGAUCCUGGGAAAAUGAUUGUACAUUCACAUCAUGCCAUCAUCUAAGUACAUGGAAAAUGCUUUUAUAGGAUGCUGAAGAUUUGCCACCAAACUACAAGGGCUUUACACCACAUCUCCAACAAUCUCUGUCACUAACAAGUGAGGAAAGAGUCCCCCUUGAGGUCACCUGCAAUUUCAAGAGUGGAAACAUCAAGAAAUCUGGUCAUGACCAGGCAGUUGUGGCAGUGACAACUUCUCCAUGGUUUAUUUCUGUUUCACAGUAUUUGGUAUCACAGUCUACUUAGAAAUAAGCGAAGUUUGAUAAAAAUGUGGCAUUUGCACCCAGUUUCUGGGGAAGACGUGGGACAUGAGAUACACAUUUGGAAAAAUCUCAAGAUUGCAGGUGAACAAUUACACACAGGGAGAUGUUGGAGGGAUCUCAAGGCAGAGAAAUUGCAGCUGUGUGGGAAAUUGUAUAUAUCUGGAUGCAUUCACUGUGGAAUUGACUGCAAAGGGCCAAAUUCUGUGUUGGAAAGAGCUCCUUCUGUUUUUCUUGGCCUAACCCACUAUGCACAGAUGUCACCUCCCUGCUUUUGACCAGACCACAGAAGUCAGGAAAGCAAUUUCUUCCCCAUCCUUACUGGCAUCCUGAGGAGGCAGGUUCCUUAGGACUCUGAUGUGAGACAGAAAUGGAAACAGGAUUUUGCUGGAGUGGGAUGCUUCGUGUUUGAGGAAGUCAAAGUUAAUCUGUGCUUGAAGAAUCAGGAAAAUUUAUAUUUUGCAUGGGCAGUGCCAACGCAGCUCCCUGUUCUGGUGGAGGGCACAAAAGAGACUUUGGUGCCUAAGUAAUUUAUGAUUAGUUGAAAACUGUUGUGUUUCAUUGCUCACACGUGUUCUACUCAAGAAGAGACUGUAAAAUUGAUCUGAGGCCCAAACUAAGAGUGAAUCUUUGUCUCUCUCAAAGAGCAAAGCUCUCUUUCAAAAAUGUAACGCUGUGUGUGACGCAGGAGUUGCCAUGGAAAAAUACAUUGAGCCAAUCAUUCAUGAUUUAUUUAUAGCAAUUAGAAUGCUCAUCCCAAGAUCCAAUAGUAGCUUUGAUUUAAAAAAAAAAAAUAAAAAAAUCAUCCAGACAAAAGAUCGAAGCACGUAAAUUGUUGGGAACACUUGUGAGUCUGUAUGGUUAAUAUAUUAUUUAAAAAAUUGACUAUGUAUGUUCCUGGACAGGGCUUUGAAGUGUAAGUGCUGCUGAUAUUUGCUUCUAUAUUUCUGCUGCUAAUAAUGUUAUUGCUGUUGUCCUAUACUUACCAUCUGUUCAGUGCCUAUUUAAUGGGUAUAGUAAAUAGCAGUUCAAAGUGAGAUUUUUCUUCUAAUCAUCUCUUUUGGAAAACAUUUGUGUAAAAUUGAAUGCUUUGGAGAAAUCUGUACACCUGUAUCUUGCUGGAAACAUGGUGCUCAAGAUCCUUACAACUGGAUAGACUUGUCUGUGGUGCAUUGAAUACUACAGGCAGUGAAUGCCUCUCUUCUGAUUGUUUUAAAUUGCAUUUAGUAAGAA